rnacentral:rRNA from 1 species
UACGUAGGGGGCAAGCGUUGUCCGGAUUUAUUGGGCGUAAAGAGCGUGUAGGCGGCUUGGUAGGUCCGCUGUGAAAACUCGAGGCUCAACCUCGAGAUGUCGGCGGAAACCACUUGGCUAGAGUCCGGAAGAGGAGAGUGGAAUUCCUGGUGUAGCGGUGAAAUGCGCAGAUAUCAGGAAGAACACCCGUGGCUAAGGCGGUUCUCUAGUACGGUACUGACGCUGAGACGCGAAAGCGUGGGGAGCGAACAGG